rnacentral:rRNA from 1 species
CCUACGGGUGGCAGCAGUAGGGAAUUUUCGGCAAUGGGGGGAACCCUGACCGAGCAACGCCGCGUGAACGAAGAAGUUAUUCGUAAUGUAAAGCUCUUUUUGCAGGGAAGAAAGAGAAAUUUGACGGUACCUGAAGAAUAAGCUCCGGCUAACUACGUGCCAGCAGACGCGGUAAUACGUAGGUAGCGAGCGUUAUCCGGAUUUAUUGGGCGUAAGGGGUGCGUAGCUGGCAUGCUAAGUCUUUUGUAAAAAUGCUGGGCUCAACCCAGUAGGGCAACAGAAACUGCAAGGCUAGAGUAUGACAGAGGCAGGUGGAACUACAUGUGUAGCGGUAAAAUGCGUAAAUAUAAGUAAGAACACCGGUGGCGAAGGCGGCUUGCUGGGUCGAUACUGACAUUGAGGCACGAAGGCGUGGGGAGCAAACAGGAUUAGAUACCCUAGUAGUC